GCUCGACCUCAAAUCAGGUAGGAAUACCCGCUGAACUUAAGCAUAUCAAUAAGCGGAGGAAAAGAAACCAACAGGGAUUGCCUCAGUAGCGGCGAGUGAAGCGGCAAGAGCUCAGAUUUGAAAUCGCCUCGGCGAGUUGUAAAUUGCAGGUUGGAGUCUUUGUGGCGGCGUGUGUCUAAGUCCCUUGGAACAGGGCGCCAUUGAGGGUGAGAGCCCCGUGCGGCACGCG
rnacentral:rRNA from 1 species